rnacentral:tRNA from 1 species
GCUGGUAUGGCUCAGUCGGUAGAGCGCACUCUUGGUAAGGGUGAGGUCCCCAGUUCAAUUCUGGGUAUCAGCA